GAUGAACGCUGGCGGCGUGCCUAAUACAUGCAAGUAGAACGCUGAAGGAAGGAGCUUGCUCUUUCCGGAUGAGUUGCGAACGGGUGAGUAACGCGUAGGUAACCUGCCUGGUAGCGGGGGAUAACUAUUGGAAACGAUAGCUAAUACCGCAUAACAGUAGAUGUUGCAUGAUAUCUACUUAAAAGGUGCACUUGCACCACUACCAGAUGGACCUGCGUUGUAUUAGCUAGUUGGUGAGGUAACGGCUCACCAAGGCGACGAUACAUAGCCGACCUGAGAGGGUGAUCGGCCACACUGGGACUGAGACACGGCCCAGACUCCUACGGGAGGCAGCAGUAGGGAAUCUUCGGCAAUGGACGGAAGUCUGACCGAGCAACGCCGCGUGAGUGAAGAAGGUUUUCGGAUCGUAAAGCUCUGUUGUAAGAGAAGAACGAGUGUGAGAGUGGAAAGUUCACACUGUGACGGUAUCUUACCAGAAAGGGACGGCUAACUACGUG
rnacentral:rRNA from 1 species